GACAGAGGGUGCAAACGUUGUUCGGAAUUACUGGGCGUAAAGCGCGUGUAGGCGGCUAAGUAAGUCGGGCGUGAAAUCCCACGGCUCAACCGUGGAAGUGCACUCGAAACUGCAUAGCUAGAGUCCUGGAGAGGAAGGUGGAAUGCUUGGUGUAGAGGUAAAAUUCGUAGAUAUCAAGCGGAACACCGGUGGCGAAGGCGGCCUUCUGGACAGUGACUGACGCUGAGAUGCGAAAGCGUGGGGAGCAAACAGG
rnacentral:rRNA from 1 species